ACCCAAGGAAAGCUAGGAGGCUGUACAGUUAUCUCCCUUGAUGUAAUUCUAAACUAUACAACCUACUACCUCAGCCUGGGAG
rfam:Macaca mulatta chromosome 14, whole genome shotgun sequence.